GUCAGGAAGUCACCAUGCUGCUCUAUAGGACGUUGGUGAGGCCGCAUUUGGAGUAUUGCGUGCAAUUCUGGUUGCCCCAAUUAC